GUCAAAACACUAAGAGCCAGAGUGGCAGACGUCCCUGUUUCAGGCAAGUAUUGCCUUGUAAUUCAGUAGCUGUACACCUGCCGAACCUGUCUUGUUGCAAUGCAUAUGUACAGGAGUACCGAACAAUGUUAAGCUUCGGGAGAAGCCUAUCAGAGUCACACAAAUUAAUAGGCAUCAUUCAAAUUCUUAAAUAGACCCAAAUGGCCACCAAGCAUAGCCACAAAAAAGUAUGUUCAUCAUUCAUUCAAGCCACAAAGCAUAUGGAACUAAGCCUUUAACUAGGCAUAUGUAACUAAGCCUCUAACUACUCGAACCUUUUAUAGGAACUAAGACCCAAACUAAGAUUUGAACUAAAUAGUUGGCGAAUCUGCAUCAUCUUCUUCCUCCCGAAUCAUGAGUGCUUGAAUGGGUUCUUUCACAUCCUGAGCCUCGUUUGCCUCAGCAAAAAUAAGGUCAGCAGCCAUCUCCUUCCUAAAGUUGUCUAUAUCUGCCUGUAAUUGACAUCCAAACAAAUUCGUUGAUAUGAGUUGAUAUAGAAUAAUAAGGUGCCCAUAAAGAAACUAAUUCAAAAGGCCAACCAAGUAAGCUAUGUACUUGAUUUGAUUUGGUAGAUCGGUAUAGUUCCUUGUCAAUAAUUUAUAGAUCACUUAUAGAUAGAGAUUCUAUUGUUUUGAAUUGUGGAUGAAGGCUACAGUUUUGGUUGAUUACAACAAUGUGGCAACAAUGUUUUCCACAUAGAGAUUGGGUUGCUUACGGAUCUGUUAACAGAUAACGACUGGGUUCAUUCAAAUUCUUUCUUACAGAUACCCUUGGUUGAUUUGAAUUGUGAUUCAGAGGUAGAGAUUUGUUUGAUUACAUCUCUGUCUUAUACAGAUUGGGUUCAUUACUACUCUUUUUUACAGAUAUAAGUUUGGACGACGAUGGCCGAAUCGAAUCGAUUCGUGCGCUUUACAUGCCGAGAUUCGAUCCGAAGAGGAACAGGAACCGGACUCCGACGACUCCGACUCGUCCAUCGGCCAAUAUGGAAAUAAUUUUGUAGAGUAGUGGGUACCCCAAGGUCAAGAUCUGCGCUACCCCAAGGCCGAUUUGUAUCAACCCAACCCUACAAUGCCAUUGAGGAAUGAGGAUGAGGAAUCAUGACAAGGGAUACGAACCCGGAUUGCGUCGCCGCCAUGGAACGCCGUUGUCCGGAGGUGAUGCAGCCUUGGAUCAAAAUGAAUUGGGGAUGAGGCGUGUGCUCCUGCAGAGGUCGCGGUCGGGGCUACGGGGCAACUGGCGGUCAGCGUGUCGAAGCCGUCCUCCUCGCCGUCGGCGGAGGGGGGUGAAACAAUGGAGAUGUUGAUUUGCGUGGAGAUUUAAUAGUGAUUUAAGGCUUUUGCUAAA